CUAGCCCCUAGAGGCAUUGAGGGUAUAGUUUCUUUGUCACAAGUGUACGAGUAGGGGACAGAGAGGAGAUAGGGUGUGUAUAUACUCAGUCUUCUGUCUUACGAACAACUGAAUGAUUAUUAGACUAACAGU